GUAAAGAUUAAAUGUGCUUUCUCAAAGGCAGCCACUUCAUGCUGCUAUGUCGAAAGGGCCAUUAUUAUUAUUAUUAUUUUUAAUAGUAAAAGAAAAAGGGAGAGAGGUUGGGAGAGAGAGAGAGAAGCUAGGUAGGAUGAUGACGGACUAGCUUUUCUGAGAGGAAAAGGAAAAGGGAAGGGAGAGAAAAAGGAGAGACCCUGAAGUGAACGGAGGAUUGUGCCUGAGAAGAACCUACAGAGGCGGCACAGGAGCCGUCUUUGCACAGGAAAACUCAGCUUCCAGGCGAUGGGGAAAAGCUACUAUCUAUCAGGUACAGAACCGGUAGCUGUCUGCGAAGAUGGAGGGGAAUUAUGCUUCGGAUUCCUCCGAAAUAUUGGCAAACGGCUUCAAAGGCUCCGCGGCGGGCGUGGGGCGGGGGAGCUGUAUCUCGCAGCCCGCACCCACCCCUUCCCACUUCGCGUCUACCAAAUGACAGCCUGGUGCUGGCUCGGGUGACUUGGCCUUGGCUUCAGCCAAGCAGCUGAUGCAGAGGAGGCCCCGUUUGCAGGACUGGCAAAGUGCACGCUAAAGAAAGAAGGAAGAAAUUUUGAAAAACAGCUCUGGGGAGGUUUCUUGUUCUUAAAAAAAAAAAAAAAAAAAAUCAAUUUUUAACUAUUUUCAAAAUUUGAUCAGUCCCAGUGCCUCCCUCCACUCCCACCAAAUUGCCUUUUUUCUCUCUCGUCGAAGCAUAAACUACAGAGUUACAGUCUCUAGAUUUGGUGUAUCGCUUCCUGCCCCCGCCUCCCCCUCUCCGCCCAGUUCUCCGUCCUCUGUUGAAACACCUCGCCCAGGCUAGCGCACUCGAGCUCACAUUCCCCCCCUUGCUCGGAAUGGUGCUACAGGAGGCUGCAGCCCUGCUCCGCUUCCGAUGGCUGAUCCUAUAGCCCCCCCCCCCCUCAGGAAUGUCUCCCCAGUGAAAGGACAAAGACUACAGAGACCAAUGCACUGAAGGACGCGCAAGCCAACUAUGAAGUUGAAACAAAGAAAGCCAUCACCUGAAGAAACCUCUCCUGCUAAGCAGCACACCCAAAUGGGACAGUUUCAGCCAACAGAACUCUCAGAACAAGAGGCAAUCUUUUCAAGAAACGGAAAAACUUAACAACAACAUCUAGAUUAGAUUUCUAAGGAGCCAAGGACUUUCCCUUCCUCGUGUGUAUUCCUCUGUUUGUAUUUAAAUUCGGUGUGACAUUCACUUUUUAAAAUUUUUCCUAGUAUGAACAUGCUUAUUAAUGCAGUGAUUUUAAAAUCAAAAAUGGCACAAAUGUGUUAAUGUUAUAACAAAAUUAAUGCUAUAAGUAGAUUGAUUUUUAGCCACACACAGAGUUUGAUCUUAAGAGUAACCUAGAGAAAAUAAAGUACUUUCGAAAUAACAACGGAGUCAGAGGCAAUCCAAAGGAUAAAAUAGUGGUGUAAAACACUCAUAAUGCAGCAUAGAAAUAUCAAAUUAUUCCACCUGACACCAACAAUCAACCAUUUUUUAAAUCAAGUAAGCUAGGUUCUGUGAGACAUCGUUACUACUUCUAGAGUUUAAAUCUAGUCAGACAGAGGUACAUAAACUUUUGAAAAGAUAAGUAACAAAUUGGGUCAAUAGACGAUAAGAGCAAAACCAAAACAAAAUAAAGGAUACAAACAAGGAGCUUAGAGGAGGUCACCAUGAGCUGGACAAAACUGGUCUGUUUAGGAAGAAAGUUCCCAAAGGAGGAAAAUAUAAGAUGAAUCUCAAAGGAUGUUAAAGAUUCAGAUAAAUGGAAAGGAAGGAGAAAAUAGAGUCCUCCAGAUGGAUCAGUUUUGUGAGCAAAACCAUGGAAGAAGGAACCUACUUGCUGAGUUUAGGAAUUAUGAAUACACACAUCUAGUUGACUUCACCUCAGACAUUCAAUGCCAACAUAUAUAUACAUAUAUGGUAAAGAAUUUGCAUACACAUUUCCCCUCUCCCACUCCAGAUUUCACCUAGAAUUGUAAUUGCAUUUCUCUGCCAUUAAAGCAAAUGAGAGUGAUUGGUGAUUAUAAGGAGAACUUGUGAUUUUUCUGUUAACCUAAUAGUAAUUGGUAUUUAUUGAGUUCUCACUAUCUGUUAAGCAUCUUACAUAUUAACUCACUUAAGCCUCCCAACAAUCUUGCAAAAUAGGUGUUAUUAUCCCUAUGUUACAGACAAUAAAACUGAGGUUUAAUGAGAUUAAGUAACUUGCCAAAGUGCCGUAUACAGGGUUUAUAUUCAGAAUUGCGAUUGCAAAGCUCACGAUCUAUCUAAAGCAUGAAGUCAGAAUGUUGUGGUCAAUGUCACCAUAUUGCUACUUCUUCUGUACGCUUUGAUGUUUUUCUAUGGUAAACAAAUAGUUACUUCAUUUAAUUAUCCCAUAAAAACUUUCAUUUUCUGGUUAAAACACUUGAAUAAUAGAAUGUAUUUUCAUGAUAGAAAAUUGAAAAAAUUGGGCAACAGAGGUUUUCAGCAUUUUAGGCUUUUUUUUUUUUUUUUUGCCAGACUUUAAUGAGGUGUUCACUUUGGUCUGCAAGAAAUCUCAAAUUCUUGAGAAUAAUUAAAAGGGGGGUGGGAGAGCUUAAAGGUCAUCUAUUGUAAUGUUCUUUUUCACAGAUGAGAUAAAUCCAUAUAGUUAGAGUGACUUAUGGAAGAUGACGCAUUUGAGUGUGGCGGAUCUAGGUCCAGAAACCAGGCCCUUCAGUCUAGUCUCAGAGGCUCUUGAACUACUCCACCCUGUUCAAGUAGAAACUUGAAUUUGAUCAAUGAAAACGUUCUAUCUGGGUGAUCAGGGAGCAUUGUACCUAGUAGAUGGCUUCAAUUCUGCACCUCUUUGGCUUCUCACCUCGAUGGCACAAAUAGCUAGCUGUGAACUAACAUCGUUAGAUCCAGAAAUUGUCAACAGUCCAUCCCCAAAGAACACGUAAUGGCCCAAGUUGUGUGUACAAUGUCUUCAAUGAUAUUCUUAAGUUAUUUGGAAUUCUUAGUUUACCCAAACAAAUCAGAUCUCCUAAAGAGCAUUUUCUUAAUCAACUUAGUGCACAGUAUGUAUUCAUAAGUGCUUCUGAUGACUAUUUAUACAUGAUUGUUUCAAUAGUCCUUAUGUUUUUGAAAAUAUCAAUAGUUAUUUGCUAUUUUAAUCCUCACUUAUCCAUGUAACUAACUCAAGAGUACUUCGGCAAUAAAAAGCUAGAGUUAAGGAAAUUUCACUUUUCUUUAUCAGCCCCUUUACAUUUGGUUGGCAUUUAGUAAUGCUUAAUAAAAUGGUCAGGUGGAUAACACAGAGGUUCAAAAUGCAAUUCUGUCUUGAAGGAGUCAAUUAAGCUGGGAUUACUUAAGGACAAACAUCUAGAUGUUUGGAAGUACCUGAAUAUUUGACUGUUGUAAAUUUCCACUUAGGUAUCUGGCAUUGUCAGACUUAGACCUCCUUGUGGCUCAGCUCGUCCUGUUUUCAAAAUGAUGAUUAUUGGCCAUAUUUCACACAGUUCUCAUUAAGUGAUUUUUAAAUAAACAGGAUUUUUUAAAGAGUAGCCAAGCACAAAAUGUGACUUUGUUGACAUUUUAUGAGACUUUGUCAUAUGUCCCCCAAACCCCCAAUAAAAGCAAUGUUGCAUCAACUGUGAA